UGGGGAAUAUUGGACAAUGUGCGCAAGCCUGAUCCAGCCAUGCCGCGUGUGUGAAGAAGGCCUUUUGGUUGUAAAGCACUUUAAGCGAGGAGGAGGCUACUUGGAUUAAUACUCUAGGAUAGUGGACGUUACUCGCAGAAUAAGCACCGGCUAACUCUGUGCCAGCAGCCGCGGUAAUACAGAGGGUGCGAGCGUUAAUCGGAUUUACUGGGCGUAAAGCGUGCGUAGGCGGCUUCUUAAGUCGGAUGUGAAAUCCCUGAGCUUAACUUAGGAAUUGCAUUCGAUACUGGGAAGCUAGAAUAUGGGAGAGGAUGGUAGAAUUCCAGGUGUAGCGGUGAAAUGCGUAGAGAUCUGGGGGAAUACCGAUGGCGAAGGCAGCCAUGUGGCCUAAUACUGACGCUGAGGUACGAAAGCAUGGGGAGCAAACAGG
rnacentral:rRNA from 1 species